rnacentral:lncRNA from 1 species
CAAGUCCUGGCACACGAUGUUCAAAAGAAAGACCUUGGCUCCCACUGAACUCUUAGAAGGCAGAUGCCAGGAUCUGCAACCCCAGGGUUGUGAGGAGAUCCUGAGCUCUCAGCCAAUGAGAGAGAAUAUUACAGACUAUGCUGUAUGCUCCUAUCCAAUGGCUGCUGAGUACCCAUGGCGUGCCAGACAUGGUGCUAAUUAAUGAAGAUGAAACAAUGAAUGUUCAGAACGCGGUAUGUUAAUGCUAUGAUAGACUGCAUGAGAUGCCAGGCAAGCUAAAAAAAAAAAAUCAAGCAUUUUGUGCCAAGUUUGUGUGCAUUGUCUCAUUUCCUUCUCCCAACCAUCUUAAGAGGUAGAUGGUAUCAUGACCCUCAUUAUACAGAGGAAAAAUGAAAGUUAGGGAGGAUACAUAGGUUGCCCAAGGUCACAUGGUUAGUACCUGCUAGAACUUGACUUAAAUCUUUACCUGGUUGACUCCAAAUCCAUGUAUCAAGCU